GGCCUCGUAGCUCAGUUGGCUAGAGCGUUGGCUGUGCUGGCGUAGUUUCGAAUCCCACCGAGGCCG
rnacentral:tRNA from 1 species